UGUGGUGGGUGGGGGGCAGAAAGAUUUUUUUUUGGUGCGUCGGGCUAGGUCUAGGGGUUGGAGGAGAGGAGAGGGUUGGGUGAGCGGCGGCCGGAGGGAAGGUGGAGGAGAGGAGGCAGGCAGGUGGGGGUACGGGGGGCGGCGCACGCGGUGCGGCCGCCGGCGCGCGGGCGACGAGGGGCAGAGCGCGGCGACGGGCGACGUCGACUCCCUGCCGUUGCGCCGCCGGAGGGACAGGAACCCGCCGCGGCGGGAACGUUUUAGCUUCCGCUUCCGUGGCCGCCGACGGCGCAGCGGCGGCAGCCACUCCAGCAUACGACGGUCCCAACUGCGCCUCUCGUCCCGCCGCCGCCACCGCUCCCUCUUCCUCCACAGCGACCGUCUCCUCGACCUCUUCCACGCCCUCGCCGCCCCUGCCCAGUACCGCCUCGACUACGCGGAGUAGCUCUACGUCACCCAGAGUUAAUAGACAUAAGCCACCACUUUGUGACUUUGAUCUCUAUGUCACCUCACUGAAAGGACAUCUCCCUUAAUCCCUCCAAAUAAGACUACUCUAAUAAAGGGUACUCUAUAUCUGUGCUACGUUUUGGUUCCAUACGAGUACGCGUAUUAAGUAUGGGAUCAUUCAUGUCUAUACAUCGUUAUCACUCCCUCACCACGUACAGAAUUAAGUAAUUCGGUGACACUUUAAUGAUAAUUAAUUCUAUCAUGUCGUCCGUGAUCAUUAUCACGACGACAACGACUAUAACGGUAACGGUGUAAAGUGACGUGAGCAUAUGCGCGUGAAACUAAUAGACACGGUGAAAAAAACGGACAGAUUGCUCGUGUAUAAAAUCAUUUUUGACCUCCUCGCGUCUCAAGAGCACUACACGUAAUACGGGGAAGAGUACUACACGCGAUGGGAGUCCCGGUCGCGUAUUACGCUACUCGCGGUUACUUGUCUGUUUGCCAUUUGACAACCGACGACGGCUUCCUCGUUCGUUACAAGUCAAGGCUGUUCACUAUUUCACCAUAAGGCUGCUCACAAGACUGAACAGACUACUACACGUCUAAAACUAACGGAACACUUGAACUAAUUCUAAUAGUCUACAAUUCAGUAAGUUGGUACACAAACGCACGGUACAUUUAAAGGUAACGGUACCCCAAUUGGACAAACAUGUUUAAUUUCAUUGAACUAAUUCCACAAUUUAGACAGUUCGCCAGUCAGUGUCAUGACACGUCAGUCGGUACAGGACUAAAUCUCUUCAUUGUAAAAAAAACUUUAUCAUCUUGUACGUCAGGAAAAUGUUUACUUUCUCUCCGUUUCUUUCACAACUUGUUCUUGUUGAUAGUCGUGUUGUACAACACUCAACGUGUAGGAAAAAACGUAAGUAAAACUUUUUACUGGGGAAGAAUCAACGAACAGUGCGAGCCGGUGACCAACGUCCAGAUACAAGGCCACCUUAGCAACUAAAGAUUCCUCCUCUCCUUCUCUUAUGUCCCCUGACGCAGAAGUCUAAGAGUCGGUUCUACGUCUCGCCACCACCUGCUGCCGUCGGACGAGGGUUCAACGUCCACUACAACGCUCUAUCGUCAUAUGGUUCCCAAGAUUCUUAAACUAAGUAUUUACGUCGGUUCUACGCCUCGCCACCAGCUGCCGCCGCCGGACGAGGGUUCAACGUCCACACACGCACCUGUAGAAGUACUAAUGACUAGUGUUUACUUGUGUGUAUAGAAGAGAGCUUUAAGACUCACAACUCUGAACUCUAACCACCGAGUAACAAAGACAUAAGUUUAUGACUACUUAGUUGUGAAGGUUUUCUAUACAGUCAGUUUAACUAUCCUAUUACAUACUAGUACGAAACAUAUCUCGACUGGAGUGUACCUUGCAGGAUAGGUAGAAUUUGAAGUGGGUCCGAACUAUGUUAACUGGGAAAUUAAAGGAUCUUUAAGAGUAGAAACGGACACGUUUAUAAUAAAAUAAACAGUAUGAGAAUAUGUAACUUCAAUGUAAAAUAGGGUGUCUGACUACCGGUUUCUUCUAAACCCUUCAAGGUGAUACAAGGAUGUCUGACAACCGGUUUUUUCUAAACCCCCUUUUAUCGAGAUCUCUUCCUAACUCUACUUUUACCCUAACCCUAGAGUGAAGCGUUACGUAACUUCUUAGUACCAACAAGAAAGAAAUCAUGGUUACCUAUAUUGAACCAAUGUGCUAUAUGAACUUCUGACAUCAUCCUUGUUUUACGAACCGUCUGGUUUGAUUAAUUGAAACUUCAAAGGACCUCUGUCUGAUGAGAACGUAGUAAUACACGUUGGGUGUCCCUAGAGCGAGCCACUCUGUUCGUGUGGAUACGGUGUAGAAAUGUACAUUCAAACAAAACGAAUCGGUACCUGUCACUCCAGGGGGAAGAGACUAAAGAAGUAAGGGUCAAGUAAAUAAAUAAACUAUAGUUAUAGAAAUGAUAUCCUAAAUACAGGAACGGUUGAGAUGUUAACAAUUAACGUGUGAGUCUCAGACCUAUAACUUAAUCGAUGAAAACGCUAGGGACCUGAUGUGCUCAGUUAUCUCGACUACAAGUAGUCAUAAAGACCUAACGGGUAGAAAGUCGACUCAAUUCCGAAAAAGAUAACAGACGUUUACUUUUAAUAAACUACAUGGGGACCAUACUAUUUUCUUCUCUAACGGGAAAAGGAAACAUUUUAAAAGGUGUGUACUACAACAGCUCCUACUAAAGUCUUAAAUAUACGAGUAACCAAGGUAAUGAGGAAAGGGGUAAUUGAGUAUAAUCUGUCACCACAUAUUUCCAACGUGGACUGAGACAAAAGGUUCCUUUAUGUUUACUUCAAUAUAAUGAACGUUGGACGCUGGGGAGAAGCGAUUUGUUCUUUUCAUUUUUACUAUUGGAUAGUACGUCAUUUUAAUGCACCGACUAGAGACAAAACACGUACAAGCCAACCCUAAUACUCAACAAGAUGAAGGGAAUUCUCUCAAAUAAAAGGAGAGUACUCUACGUAUGAAUAUAAAGACCUUAUUUACUUAGAAAACCCAACAUUGGACAAGAAUCAUUGCUACGGAAUGGUAGACGGAAGAGGAGAGGAAAUACAACAAAAAAGAUUUAAUAAAGAUACCUGAUGAUGGUAUUGAACAACCAAAUCAAAUCCACAGAUCCUUCUUAAACGUCAGAACGUCUACUUAGUACUAUAGUCCAAAUCCGUACGUGUACCGGUGAUUAGUGUUUUUUACUAUAGACUAUUUCGGUAGUAGUACAGUACAUUAAUGAACGUCUUGUUGAUAUAACAAAAAACCCCGCCAUUUCGUCUUUACUAUCCUGAGACGUUCAGUACACUCACAACAAACUAAUAAAUGAAAGAGUUCACGCACCUACAGCAAUCGUACAAAUCAUAUGCGUGCCUCUAUACGUUUCACACUUUUACCAAAGGACCCUUGCAGUCCAAAAAAAAGAGGAGCCUUGCUUGCUUUGCAAGCGGUCCCUCGCUAGUGGGGUGGCUUGCAAAAACCAGCUAGACCCCCUCCUCGACCUGGCUUGCUAAGCGGGGUCCGGGGGUGCGCUUGUCAACGGGGACGUCCGUUUUUGUUUUGAAACUGAUCCGGAAAUGUCGGAGGUUAAUCCGAUUUUUUACCGGGACAAAAAACACUGCGGAGUUGUGAACCUAGUAGCGAGCUCCAAUAGCGAAAACUCAAAGUCCACUAUCCAAUAAAAAUUAACUAAAAAACCUUUAGUACUACGAUUUAUAUACCUAACACAGUCAAUCGAUUAGAUAACCGAGAAACUACACAUACCACUGUACUACCGUUACUUUUAUGUAAAACUUGACUAUCAUAAACAUAUUAAAUUAAAACUGUCUCAUAUCCUCGUAUGAGUUACAGAAGGCGAAAAACAUACUCCAGCCGAAUAGAACGAAUAUCAUUAAUCGAUUUAUUUAUAUACCCGUAAAUUCUUAUAGAAACGUUAAUCCGGUCCGCACUCUUUUUAAAGUUUCUACUACAAGAGAAAACCACAUAAAGAUAAGAGAGACAAGGUUUAGAAAAAAAAACCUACGGUGACCGUGUGGUGUACGACAAGACUUCUAUAGUACGAUACCCUGAAGAGUCGUCUUGGAUUUGUUUUCCUUCGAUACCAAAAUGAACGUCGAGUCAAAAGUGUAGGAAGGGUCCAAAGUGUUUUUGUAUUUGUACGAACCUACCCACAGGAACGGACGCUGGAGCGACAGAGGUUGGGUAGGUGUCCAUAACGUUGAGGAACGGUAGGUUAAAUAAGUGACAAGCAGGAGAGACGACACUAAACCGCCAACUUUAGUUAAGCAGACCUAUCCCUCCUCGUUAAGUCAUUAGUAAAUGCGUGGUACAUAUGAAGUAAAAUAAAGUACAUAUUGGACAUAUAUUAUUCUUUCUUUUCACCCCAUCGAGGAGGCAAAGUCACGAAAUCGGACUUUUUAUGACUCAAAUGGAAGUCUAUUAAACUCACUACGACUAUACUAUCAAUUGGUAUAUUGGAGGUAAAGUACAUAUUGUAAUGAACUUUUAAAUAUCGUACACCUGGUGGUGUUUCUUAUUAGAGGGAAAUCUAUUAAACUCACCUACGGGUAAACUAUCGGUUAAUACGAUUAUUGCUCCCACAGGCCUGGUUCGACGUACGGAGGUUCUAGCGGAAAAAUAUCGCCAUAGUGCUGCUGGACACAUAAAGGGCACUAUCUUUAACACUAUGUGGAAGGAAAUCCACGUAAAAGUAAGUCUACCACUAGGUCCAAAUAACCUCGUCAUGUACGAUUGGUGGUUACACAAAAGACUAGAAAUCAUGUUCCGAAAUGGUUUGAUAGUUAACUUCACGUCCAGUUGGUUUUGAAGUAUAUGUAUCCGACUUUCUACUUUUGAUUUCUGGUACCUUUUCUAGUGUGGUAGAAAAUAGGGACUUUUUUUUGACGUACCAGUGAACUGAAAUAUCUGUUGUACGACGUGAUAAUUGAAACCAAAUUGACUAGCUAUUACGGAGGAACAAUAAUCAAUAUAUGAUUCCUUGUACGGACACUCAUAUAUGAACCCGAUACAUACACUAUGGUCUAACAAUUGUAUUAUGAGAAUCACUUAGGGGAUUAAAUACAACAAGGAUACGAAACCCUUUGAUGUCGACUGUAGGAGCUAUCUUUAUCGAGGAAUUGUUAGCAAGGGCGAAAAGAAAUGAACUUUGACAAUGAGACGAGAUCCAAGUUCCUAGACACUAUCCACAUAAAUCAAAAGGAUACCGCUACCGUGUACAUUUAAUUUGGUAGAUAACACAAGACGUAAGAUACGGUAACGGGUACCAGUAAUACAUAAACGAUACUUACAUACGAGCCACAACAAACAUUCAACCUAGAAGGAUUUUUGGUCUCCUACAUAAAAAAGCGGCCUUUAUUUGGCACAUAACAGUCUGAAUCAACUUAUUGAGGGUCUAAAAUGGAUGAAGUAACAAAAACACUGUUAGUGUCCAACAAACUAUUAUCCGGAUUUUUGGUUCUAUUUGACUACAAAAGUGUGGAAACGAAACGUAGACACAACUGGUCUUCUUUAACGAAUGUCCCAUGGAAAGAAUGUUUUGGAAAGGAAACGUUAACAUAGUUAAAUGAAAACUAUGGUUUGAAAACAAGAUUGGAGUAACCGUUUGGACUAAUGGACUAGGUUAAUGAAUGGACACAUUUCACGUUUGAACACACGAGUGAUGGAUAAGAAGAGAAUAACCUCUACGUAAGUGGACGUAAGGUAAGUUCAUUGCCUAUCUAUCAACAACGAUUAAGAUAAGUACCACUAACGUCCGUACCAAUUGGAUAGGAAACACAUCAUACUUAUAAUAUGUGUGAGAAAAGUAAAGACAAAGGGGGAGGAUUUGGUAAAUAAGACAGAUGGCGCCCAACGAACGAUAGGAGAGUAGCACAGAUAACCACAUCAUAGCGUAUAGGAGAGAGCUUCUCUACUCUAUUCCUAAUGUCCCGAUGGUUGACUCAAGAUGCCGAGUGGAGACCUUCUGUAGGACUCAGUAAUAAAACGUACGAUCUCUUGUUGUUGAUAGUACAACCACUAAAGGGACUAUAAACCAAGAUGUUCACACAGUAUACCUGGUUACUUUCUUUUAUAUAAGGCCUCUAUUAUUGAUAUACCCGAUGAGGUUUACCAGACUGUCACCUUGGUUGUGGAAAAUAUCCGGAAGUUCAUGGACACCUUCAGAUGGUACGUUCGUAAUAGGCUACUACUGUGACGAAAAAGCAUGUAUAGUAGAAUUCUGGCGCCAGUUUGAUUCUUCUACGGAUUUAUUCGACACUCCGUCGGAUAUAUAUUCACAUAAAGAUACUUGACUGGAUUCAGUAAGAUGAUAGACAUUUGGUUAAAUUCAGUAAGAUGAUAAACAUUUAGUCAAAUUCAGUAAGAUGAUAGACGUUAUGUCAGGUGUGACGUAAUAGAAAGGUAGAUGUAAAGAAUGAAUGAGUGGUGAUUGUAACGAAGAUUGAGCGAAAAACGCGGUUACCGCGUUGGCCCAGUAGAUCAAUGUUUUUGUAAGGAGUUAAGGAGAUACCGAAUUCGGGUAGAGUCUACCUUUACAAAUUUUGACUGCUGUUGGGAAUAUUAGCCGUCAGUUUCUUUCAAUGUCUCCAAUCACUCUAAUAGGUAAUGACGUCAAUGUAAUGACUUUUAUUUACCACCGUAGGUCACGAUAUUCACUGUGAGAGUUUAAGUAAGGUUUCAUGAGGUCUGAGGUUUCGUACAGGAAAAGUAGGUAAGUACAAUCGUCGCUCGUUCCGGUACCGUAGAAAGAAAGGGGAUCUUCAAAUUUCUUAGGUUAAUCAGUAACUGUUUAUGAAAUCCUGUUUAUCAACUACCACAUAUACACAUUGUGCACCUCUUAUAGUUACAUUCUGUACUAUACUCAACCACGUCGUCCAAGUAAACAAACAUCGAUAAUGUAUCCGCUAGAGAACAAUUAUCUUUAGUGAGUGAAAAAGGAAAAGCAUAUAAAUAAGGGCAUCGAUGACAUGUCGUGUUGUACGUUCCUUUAUAUACAGACGACUUUAAAUUAAAAUAAACAAGAAAUGUCUUUAGAACCUAAGUAUUUACCCUCUUCGUACCUUUCACAACGGUACAACAGCCGAGUCGAUUUCAGGAAUUAGUACUCCUCUACCCUGUACAGCUAACAAUCUCAUGUCAACUGUCUCCACUAGCUGCGACUGAAGCGGCGCUUCGGAACAACGGUGCAGCGUGUCUACUAGCAGGUCCACUAAAGCUGCAGCCUCCAGCGGCUCCACCUCCUGGAACUGCGGUGGCAGGCCCCCUCCCUCCUAAGCUCAGGUGGCUGCAGACUUGAGGCUCGGAUCCAUCUAUGUAGAUCUCUUCACCAGACAAAUCCAACCACCAUCUGGUGAUCCCUUCCAUGGGUGGAAUGCUACUACCAACACACACAGACUACAAUUUACCUUAGAGCUCUACCAAGACACUGUACAAUUUACCUUAUAACUCUACCAAGUCACUGUAAGCAAACAAAACGUAACCUGUAUAAUGAUCAGUACUUAUGAUG
rnacentral:rRNA from 1 species